AGGAGUCAUCACUAAGAUUAAAAUUCUUGUUCAAAGCAGAUCUACGCAAAACUAACUCCCUUUGCCUUCAUCCUUCAGACAGCUAAGAUGCAAGGCACACCUUUCAUACCAAACUGGCUGUGGCGGUACAAGAGGCAAAGCUGUAAUCACACAGACACUUCCAAGAAGACAUGGCUGGUGCUCUGCAAACAUGCCCUUAGAAUAGUACAAAUGGGGAUGCCAGUUCUGAAUGAUUUAAAAUUGUAGAAACAAACACCAUGUGACCCACAUUAUACAUCUAGGUUCCCCAGCUACUGAAGUGUUUUUACAACCUACUUUCCAAUGUUGCUGCUUUCCCUGUAUGCCUCCGCACGGUAGACAUAGCUGAAGGGCAAAUAGGCUAUGUUUCUCAAAAAGGCUUAUUUUAUAAUUAAAGACUCAAGUGCUUCGUGUGGAACAUGAAUAAUGUAUCUUAUAAAUCUUCUUUGAUAUAUGUAUACACAA